rnacentral:rRNA from 1 species
GAUUUCUGACGGACCGUUCUGGCCCGUUCCCGUAUGGGAAUGCGUGCUUGGGCGUGUUUGUCAUCCUUCCGGAUAGCUGCGUCUUCCAUUAACUUGGAUGGACGUAUGUGACCCGGAUCUAUUACUUUGAAAAAAUUAGAGUGUUUAAAGCAGGCUUACGCUAUGAAUACAUUAGCAUGGAAUAAUAAUUUAGGACUUCUGUCCUAUUUUGUUGGUUUCUAGGACUGAAGUAAUGAUUGAUAGGGAUAGUUGGGGGUGCUAGUAUUCCGAGGCCAGAGGUGAAAUUCUUGGAUUCUCGGAAGACUAACUACUGCGAAAGCAUU